rnacentral:rRNA from 1 species
GGCUCUUUGUAAUAUAAAAAUAAAGAGUCCGGCCUGCUCAAUGAUGAUUUAUCAUUAAAUAGCUGCGGAAUCCUAACCGUGUGAAAGUAGCAUAAUCAUUUGCCUCUUAAUUGGUGGCUGGAAUGAAUGGUACGAUGAAAAUAGAGCUGUCUCUAAUAUGUUUUAUUGAAAUUACCUUUUAGGUGAAAAGGCCUAAAUAUAUCUAUAAGACAAGAAGACCCUAUCGAGCUUUAAGUAGGCUAUAUAUAAUAUUUAGUUAGCUUUUGGUUGGGGCAACCAGGGGGCAGAUUAAAUCCCUCUUUUAUUAUGUCACUUACUAGUGAAGAUCCAGUUAUAUUGAUCAUGGGA